UACAGAGGGUGCGAGCGUUAAUCGGAAUUACUGGGCGUAAAGCGUGCGUAGACGGUUAUUUAAGUCGGGUGUGAAAGCCCCGGGCUCAACCUGGGAAUUGCAUUCGAGACUGAAUAGCUAGGGUACGGUAGAGGGAAGUGGAAUUUCCGGUGUAGCGGUGAAAUGCGUAGAUAUCCGGAGGAACACCAGCGGCGAAGGCGGCAUCCUGGACUGGUCCUGACACUCAGGAGCGAAAGCGUGGGGAGCGAGUCCGG
rnacentral:rRNA from 1 species